rnacentral:rRNA from 1 species
GGUCGCGGGAAUUCGAUUAGAGUUUGAUCCUGGCUCAGGAUGAACGCUGGCGGUAUGCCUAACACAUGCAAGUCGAACGGAGUUCUUCGGAACUUAGUGGCGGACGGGUGAGUAACACGUGAGAACCUACCUUCAGAAUGGGGACAACAGUCGGAAACGACUGCUAAUACCCAAUGCGCCGAAAGGUGAAAGAUUUAUCGUCUGAAGAUGGGCUCGCGUCUGAUUAGCUAGAUGGUGGGGUAAGAGCCUACCAUGGCAACGAUCAGUAGCUGGUCUGAGAGGAUGAGCAGCCACACUGGGAUUGAGACGCGGCCCAGACUCCUACGGGAGGCAGCAGUGGGGAAUUUUCCGCAAUGGGCGAAAGCCUGACGGAGCAAUACCGCGUGAGGGAGGAAGGUCCUUGGAUUGUAAACCUCUUUUAUCAGGGAAGAAGCUCUGACGGUACCUGAUGAAUAAGCAUCGGCUAACUCCGUGCCAGCAGCCGCGGUAAUACGGAGGAUGCAAGCGUUAUCCGGAAUUAUUGGGCGUAAAGCGUCCGUAGGUGGUUAUGCAAGUCUGCCGUUAAAGAAUGGAGCUUAACUCCAUAGGAGCGGUGGAAACUGCAAGACUAGAGUACAGUAGGGGUAGCAGGAAUUCCCAGUGUAGCGGUGAAGUGCGUAGAUAUUGGGAAGAACAUCGGUGGCGAAAGCGUGCUACUGGGCUGAAACUGACACUGAGGGACGAAAGCUAGGGUAGCGAAAGGGAUUAGAUACCCCUGUAGUCCUAGCCGUAAACGAUG